AUUGAACGCUGGCGGCAGGCUUAACACAUGCAAGUCGAGCGAGCGGCGGACGGGUGAGUAAUGUCUGGGAAACUGCCUGAUGGAGGGGGAUAACUACUGGAAACGGUAGCUAAUACCGCAUACCAUCGGAUGUGCCCAGCUGGGAUUAGCUAGUAGGUGGGGUAAAGGCUCACCUAGGCGACGAUCCCUAUCUGGUUGGAGAGGAUGACCAGCACCACUGUAACUGAUACACGGUCCAGACUCCUACGGGAGGCAUCAGUGGGGAAGAUUGCACAAUGGGCGCAAGCCUGAUGCAGCCAUGCCGCGUGGAUGAAGAUGGCCUUCGGGUUGUAAAGUACUUUCAGCGGGGAGGCGUUACCCGCAGAAGAAGCACCGGCUAACUCCGUGCCAGCCGCCGCGGUAAUAC
rnacentral:rRNA from 1 species